rnacentral:lncRNA from 1 species
CGGGUGGAUUUGUUUGUGACAACAGCAGAUCCUGUUCUUGAACCACCAAUAAUCACAGUGAAUACAGUGUUGUCAUUGUUGGCACUUGAUUAUCCAGCUAAUAAGCUAGCUUGUUAUGUUUCUGAUGAUGGUUGUUCUGUUUUUACCUUCUAUGGUCUUUUGGAAGCUUCCAAAUUUGCAAAGUUUUGGGUACCUUUCUGUAAAAAGUAUAAUAUUCAAGUUAGAGCACCUUUUAGAUAUUUUACUGAAGUUACCAAAAGUGAAGAUUCACCAGAAUUCAAACAAGAAUGGUUACAAAUGAAGGUAAGUAAACAAAUAUUACUCUGAAAUGAUUAGUACACUAUUUAGCAUCGGCACUUCAAAUUGAACAUGUGUCAAAUCUCUGAUACUACACGACACUGACACAUGUGAUUAGAUUUAAUCAAUUUCAUUUUCUCAAAUUAAUACUGAUUCUUAUGUGUCAUUGUUAAGUGUCAUGUUUAGUGUCCGUGUUUCAUAAUUGAUACAUGUUAAUGAUCUUAUGAGAUAAGUAUCUAUGUAUCUAGCUUUGAACAUGAACUGUUUGAUGAAUUGUCUCUUUGAGUUUUUUGCAGGAUAUGUAUGACAAUCUUAGCCAAAAAAUUGAAGAUGUGACCAGAAAUCCAAUUUCAUUCCAAUUUGAGGGAGAAUUUGCAGUUUUCUUGAAUACUGAAAAAAGAAAUCAUCCCAGUAUAGUUAAGGUAAUAAAUAGAGCCAUAAUUACCUCAUUCCUAGGCGACGUAGGACUAAGUACUUAUGCUUGAAUUCUAAACAAAUCGUAAAAGACUUACAUUACAUGUUGCAGGUUAUAUUGGAGAACAAGGACGGUCUAUCUGAUACAUCGCCUCACUUAAUAUACGUAUCAAGAGAGAAGAGGCCAAAGUAUGAACACAAUUACAAAGCCGGAGCUAUGAAUGUGUUGGUAAUUUCACUGAUUAAUAUUUAGUACUGCAAAAUACUAGUUCUCAUUUUCGGGGAUCUGUUCUCAUUUUUCUUAAUUGAAAUUUGCAGACAAGAGUUUCUGGGUUGAUGACAAAUGCUCCCUUUAUGUUGAAUGUUGACUGUGAUAUGGUUGUGAACAAUCCCAAGAUUGUUCAACAUGCUUUGUGCAUUUUGAUGGAUUCUAAGAAUGGAAAAGAUGUUGCUUUUGUUCAAUGUUUCCAACAAUUUUACGAUGGAAUAAAAGAUGACCCUUUUGGAAAUCAAUGGGUGGCUGGAUUUGAGGUUUCUUCUCAACUUCAAAUGCAUCUAUCACUUCACUCUUAUAGAUUUUUGUGUUAUAAAACAAGUUUUGUUUUGUUUUAAUGCAGUAUAUAAUAAGGGGCAUGGGAGGACUUCAAGGACCUUUCUAUGGAGGAACAAAUACCUUCCAUAGAAGAAAGGCUAUUUAUGGUCUUUAUCCUGAUGAACUUCAAUAUGGAAGAAAAGGUCACUUAUUCAUUGUGCUAUCUUCAUUUAAUUGUUUCAUUUAGCCUCCUAAAUAAGCAGUUAAUUACAAUAUGUUGGAGUGAUUAUAUAUAAAGGUAGUAUCACAAUUAAUAGUUGAUUCCUAUAUGAUAAUCAAAAACUCGCUUAUUAUUUUGUAUCUUCAAUAGGAAAACUAGCAGAAAAGAUAUUAAUACAGCAAUUUGGAAGUUCAAAUGAGUUUGUCAAAUCAGUCACACAUGCAAUGGAAGGGAGUGAUUAUUCUACUAAUGGUAUUAGUCCUUCCAAUUUUAUUGAGGAAGCGAUCCGAAUAUCUGAUUGUGGAUAUGAAUAUGGCACUGAUUGGGGUAAAAAGGUAAGCUAGAUAAGCAAAUCAAUUUUGUUAAUGAGAAAAGGGGACAUGCCCUGAUAGUGUAAGCUAGUUUUACGAUCACGACUAAUGAGAAUCCAACACUUUGUAGUUAUUUUUAAAUUAUGGUUACAAAGUGAGCUAUCUCAUGAACUCUCAUUCGAUGUUGAUCUAAAAUUAUUUUAUAUUGACGGUGCAUCUCCAAUAAACUCUUUGUUAAUUAGUUUUUGUGGAUUGUGGAAACUUUAGAUGUGCUGGUUAUAUGGAUCAAUAUCAGAGGAUGUACCAACUGGUUUGAAUAUGCAAAAAAAAGGUUGGAGAUCAGAGUGUUGUACACCGGAUCAAACCGCUUUUACGGGCUGCGCUCCCGGAGGAUUUCUCACUACAAUGAUCCAACAAAAGAGAUGGUCUUCAGGUCUCACUGUUGUCUUCUUUAGCAAGCAUUCUCCUGUUAUGGGCAUACUCUUUGGUAAAAUUCAAUUCAGGGCAGGCUUGUCUUAUUGUUGGCUUACCAAUUGGGGAUUGCGUUCUGUCUUUGAAGUUUCUUAUGCAGCCUUGGUUGCAUAUUGCAUAAUCUCCAACACCAGUAUCUUUCCUAAGGUUAGAUCUUUACGUUCAAUUUCUAGUAGCAAGUUAAAUUAAAUAUUGAGGGGUUUUUGGAAUAGUUUAUUUAAGCUUAUUUACUGGCAUACGAGAUUCCUUGUUAGAGAUUACGAAAACAUCUUAUAGCUUAUAUGAAAAAAGUUUGACUUUAUUUUAACUUUUUUAUAUAAAUAAUUUAUGCAUAAGUACUUAUGUGGUAAGCAUUAUGCUAUAACCAAUUAAUUAAGUUAUUUAUCCAAACAGGUUCUUACUUUAAUGACUAGAUGCAAUGAGUAUAAAAAAAUUAUGCAUACAUUUAAUAACAAGUCAUCAUAUAUCUCUGAAGAUGCUUUAGAAAAUAAUAUAACAAAGUGUCAUAUCUUGAGAUUAUUGGGUGCAUUUUGUCUAAUUCCAGGGACCUGGGCUAUGGAUUCCUUUGACUCUUUAUGUGAUCUAUACUAUACAUACUCUACAAGAGUAUCUAUCAAAAGGGUUGUCAUUAAGAUAUUGGUGGAACAAUCAGAGAAUGAUUACAAUAAGAUCAACAAGUGUAUGGUUUAUUGGAUUUUUAAGUGCCAUGGUUAAGCUCUUAGGGAUAUCUGAUACAGUCUUUGAAGUAACACAAAAGGAAAAUCCAACUUCUGGUGCUGCUGCUGGAGAUGAUGCAAAUGCUGGUAGGUUCACAUUUGAUGAGUCCCCAAAUUUUGUGAUUGGCACAACCAUUUUGCUUGUGCAAUUGACAGCACUUGUUGUUAAGAUUUUGGGGGUGCAAUUAGAAGCUCACAAUGGAAAUGGUUGUGGAAUAGGUGAAUUGAUGUGUAGUGCUUAUCUAGUAGUAUGUUACUGGCCAUUUCUGAAAGGGUUGUUUGCUAGGGGUAAAUAUGGGAUUCCAUUGUCUACCAUUUUCAAGUCAGCACUGCUUGCUUUUAUUUUUGUGCGCUUUUGUAGAAUUGUUUGAUGGGGGCUAUAGUGGAAUUUAUAUGAGAUAUAUUUUUAUAGGAGAAAAUUCUCACUUGAGAUGUAAGGGUGAGAUUUGAUUGGUGGAUCAGAUUUUUAUUUUUGUAAGAGAUAUUGAUCAUGUCUAAAAGUUAUGGUGAUAAAUUUUGUAAAAAAAAUGUAUGAUAAUAAAUAGUUAUGUGUGAACAAUACUGCGAGCUUUCAAAUAAUUGUGUUUAAAUUAUGAACGUCGAUGUGAUAAAUACAAAACUACUCUUAUAAAUUCAUAGUUGUACCCUAUAAUAUUUCACAUUACGUUUACACUAUGCUCAUGAACAUGAUAGGGACUAUCUUUUCUUUUCUUUUUUUGACACACGACUAUCUUUUUUUAAGAACUCAAAGAGUACAUUAAAAAAACUAAAUUAAGUUGAAGGUGUGCAUAAAAGAAAAAGAAACAAUAUUUAGGUAUGGUUUGGCUCACUAUUUUAAUAGCUUUAAAACUAAAAUUAAAGUUGUUUGGUAAAUCUUGCUGUUUUAUUAAAAAAAGAUUAAAUUUUUAUUAUUAUUAUAGGGUUAAAUGAUAUGUUUGAUAAUAUAUUAUAAUUUUUUUAAAAAUAUAGAAGCUAUUUUUUUUCUCUUAAUAAAUCUUUUAAAAGUUAUUGUUUGGCCUAACUUCUUACUUCUAAGGAAAAAGAAGAGGAAAAGAAGAUAGAUCAAAUAGUACAUUAGAAUCACACUACGUAGUCCCCACGAGCUUAAAUCAAUUAGUAAGGAAUAUCGCGUUUUAUAUACAAGAGAUGAGGUUCGAACCCCGACACCUCACUUAUCCAUUAAGGGGGAAAUUUCUGACCACUAUACAAGCUAUAAAAAAAAUCAGACUAUGUAAGCCGAAUGAUGAUUGAGAAACUACGUAAGCCAAGUUGGAUGAUAUGAUUCAAAAUAAUUUGCCCAAUCUCAUAAACACCACUAAAUUCAACAACAGUCAACAGACACAAUCUUGGAUGCAACUUGUACGUGGAAAAUAUAUAUUACUUCCAAUUUAGUAUGUUAGUCAAUGUCAACAUCUCAUCUCAGCUCAUAUAUAUUUUAUAAAUUUUGCUAUUAAUAUCUCUAAUGGGGUACUUUUUUAGCCUCACAUUCACAUUAAUAGGAAAAUAAUUUGCCCAAUCUUGGAUGCAACUUGUACGUGGAAUUGUGGAAAAUAUAUAUUACUUCCAAUUUAUGUUAGUCAAUGUCAACAUCUCAUCUCAGCUCAUAUAUAUUUUAUAAAUUUUGCUAUUAAUAUCUCUGGUGGGGGUACUUUUUUAGCCUCACAUUCACAUUAAUAGGAAAAAAAAAUCUAAGGUUGGUCCUGUUAGAAUAAUAGGUCCAAUACAGAAACAGUUCAUCGAGUCGGUAAAAGGACAUGUCAUUUGUUUAUUUUUAGGCUUAAAUACAGUUUUAUCUCCUAUUUUGAAAAAAUCGAAAUUUUAUCCCUCUUAUUUUAAAAUCUGAAAUUUUACCUCCCUAUUUUAUAAUUUUUUGGAUUUUGCCCCCACCAAAAUUCUGCACAAAAUUUAUUUAUGAGCUUCAAGUUCAAAGCUUCGCACAAAACUCAAUUUAGAUUAAUAAUUCACCAAACUGAUACCGAGAUGACCGCAAUCGAGUUAGUUUUUCACAGAAUCAAACUCUACUAAAUUUGGAGUUACAAUGAAAGAUUAAUUACUGUUUUAGUGAAUGUCUGUCCAAAUUAAUUAUCGUAUGGAACUACUACUGGUAUUUUCGUCAUGUCUCUUACCCUGUAGCUCAUUUUUUAAUAGUAUUUACAUUUCUGGAAAUUUAACGAAAUUACCCUUGUUGACAUUUCAAUUUCGUCGAAUUUGGAGUUACGAUGCCUUCGGUAGACGAUGUUGAUUUUGAAGGUCAAAAGUAGAUUUCUGCAGAAUUAGUAAUUGGACAGACAUUCACUAAAACGGUAAUUAAUCUCUCUCUGUAACUCCAAAUUUAGUAAGGUUUGAUUCUGUGUAAAGCUAACUCGAUUACGGUCAUUUCGGUAUCAGUUUGGUGAAUUAUUGAUUCAAAUUGAGUUAUGUGAGAAGUUUUGAAGUUGAGACUCAAACAGAUUUUGUGCAGGAUUUGAGGGGCCAAAAUCCAAAAAAAAUUAAAAUUGGGGGGUCAAAUUCCGGAUUUUAAAAUAGGAGGUAAAAUUCCAAUUUUUUCAAAAUAGGAGGGUAAAACUGCAUUUAAGCUUUAUUUUUAUUAUAGUUUGACUACUCUCUCAAUGAAGGUUUUAACUUUUAAUUGGCGGGUCACGGUUAAAAUCGCGUUAAAGAUUUUGCAAUUUCGAUUGUUACUAGGGCAGGCAAUGAUCCGACCUAAUUUACGAAUAGUUCGAACUCGAUUCAAUAAUUGACUCAUUGAACUUGGUUUAUGAACCAUUUUUCCGCGGUUGUUUUUGAGGUAAAAAACCCCUUUUUUGUCAUGAAUAUCAAGACCUAACUCAUCCUUACAAAACCGGCUUGUAAGGUGAGGACUGUCUCUUCUUUAUAAACUCUUCUCAAGAAUCCUAUCUAUCCGAUGUGGGACUAAAUUCUCACCGAGUGUUCCCUCUCACGCAAAUAAACUACUUUGGAAUCCUAUAUAUGGUUAAAAAGGACGUGAUUUUUUAUUAUAGGUUGACUACGUACCUCUCAAAUAAACUACUUUUAAGAAAACUGGAAUAUGAUUUUUCUCAGAUAGAGUGAUGUUGUCAAUUCUAUCAACAUCAUAUUGUGCAAAACUUGCGAACAAAUGAAAGGUGCCAAAUAAAACUCAGACACAACUUUGUGAUUUGGUGUUCAAAUCAUGUGAAAAUAUCCAACUUAUAAUAAGGGAAAUGCUAACCAAUAUCUCAAGUUUCAUAUCUUGUUUGCUACUUGACUCCUUGCAUUGCAUCAACCUUAUCAAAGGUUCCAUUUUUAAGUUUCAUAUCCAUGUUGUUUUGAUUCAAGACAUAAAGGAGUUAUUCUCUCACAACAAUGUUACUUUUUGUCACACUUUAAGAGAGGGAAACCAAUGCUCUGACUUUUUAGCAAAGCCGGGAGCUUGUUUGGAUGCUGAUUUAGUAAUUCACAGUUCUCCUCCGACAAGCAUGCUUGAUCUUCUCAGGAGUGACACAACUGAGAUUAUCUUUUAAAUGUAGUAUAUUCAAUACCUUUAAAUUUUAAAAUAGAAUUUUUUUUCUAUUUAAAACUUUAUUUUUAUUUUCAUCUUUGUUUUCUUAACUAUUGCUUCAGACACGGUUAUAGUUUUAUAACAAUAUCGACAUUAGGUAUCAGGACUAUUGAGCAAAAUUAUAAAUUGAAUCCAAUUAAAAUAUAGGCGUAAUUAGUCAUUUGGUCCCUUAAAGAUAUUUUAGGUUUCACAAUGGUCCCUUAAAGAAAAAAGGUCAGGAUUGGUCCCUUAAAGACACAUUUGUUUCUCAAUUGGUCCUUUCCGUCAAUUUUUUUACAAAAAACGUUAGUUUUAGUAGACUGAAUUGUGGAUGUCAUUAAGUGUAAGUGGUCUACCAAAAACCUUAUUAAUUUUUAAAAUUUUAACCAUUGGAAUUUUUGUUAUAUUUGGAGUUAAAAUUUAACGGAAAUGACCAAUAUGACAAAAAUAUAUGUCUUUAAGGGACCAAUCCAGACCUUUUUUUUCUUUAAGGGACCAAUCCGAACAUUUUUUUUCUUUAAGGGACCAUUGUAAAACCUAAAAUGUUUUUAAAGGACCAAUAAACUAAUUAAGCCUAAAAUAUACUAUAGUCAAUCCCUCACAAGUAGAUCUGAAAUCUAAAGAUUGAUGGAAUAAAUAAUUAAUCAGCCGUCCAAAGAAUCUCAAAUAUAAUAAACUUGCUAUUAUUGUGAUUUCUAUCUCUAUAAGCUGACUUAGAGCAUCCACAAUAGAGAUACUCAUUUUAUCUCACGGGUACACAUCACUCAUUUAUAAUUUUUUAAUAAUAGUACCUAAUAAGUAUUUAAUCCCUCCAACUCUACAUCUCUUUGAAAGUUCCAAAUUGGCCCUACAAUAACACAUCUCACCUAUAACUAUACAUCUUUAUAAAUAGGAUCCACAAAAAUAAAAUAGGUACUAAUGCUUAUUGUAGAAUCAGUAGCUAUUAAAUACUCAAAUGAGUAUUGCUCCAAUGGUAUUACCUAAUAGGUACUACACCAUUGGAGAUAGUCUUAGUGGUCAAUACUUUAUCAUUUCAUUUUUGGCUGACUCCUCUUCAUAUUCUAUUGAUCAUAAGCAUCCAGAAGCGCGACACCAGUAGAAAGAGUUAAGCUACUAAGCUAAGUGUUGUGGUAUGGCUAUGGCAAACCAAGAAAAUCUCCCUCUUUAUGAAAAAGUAUGGCUCAAACGCACAUUUCAGAGAGCUAUAGACAUCUUGAUUUUACUUCUCUUAUUCUCUCUUCUUAGUUACCGUCUUUUCUCCAUCAAUAACACCUUCUUCACACUUCCAUGGUUUCUUGCUUUCUCAUGUGAAUCUUGGUUUACUUUCACUUGGAUUAUUCUUCUUAAUGCCAAAUGGAGUCCUGCUGUCACCAAAACAUACCCAAACCGUCUCCUCCAACAGUAUGUAAUCACAAUCCAUCAUUUUCUCCAUAACUUCCUGGUCAACCGCAUUUUUGUUUGACUUUUUUUAAAACUGUUUUCCAAAAAAAAUAAUUCUCGAAAACCAUUAUGGUUUGCGAAAAUUCUUGUAGUGCAAGCUGAACAUCAAGAUUGAUGUUGCAGUUUAUAUUGCGGUCGUGGUUAAAACAUAUUGUUUAUACAUAGCAAUGAAGUCUUGCACUGAUUUUGUAUUGCUAUUUCAGUACUCUUAUCAGGUUCAAUUCUCUCUGGUGCCAAUUCGAGUGGGUUAAUUUAGCUUCUUCAAAAAAAUAAAAUAAUCAGUAUUCUUAUAUAAAAGUUGACUGAAUUUGAUCGUAUAAAAAUAAUUUCUCAUCCGAAUUAGAAUCUCAAGUCUUGUACUAAUUUUUUGUAUUUUUUAUCCGAAUAGAGUACCUGAGCUACCGCGUGUGGACUUGUUUGUGACAACAGCAGAUCCUGUUCUUGAACCACCAACCAUCACUGUGAACACAGUGUUGUCUCUGUUGGCACUUGAUUAUCCAGUUAAUAAAUUAGCUUGCUAUGUUUCUGAUGAUGGUUGCUCUGUUUUUACCUUUUAUGGUCUUUUGGAAGCAUCCAAAUUUGCUAAGUUUUGGGUACCUUUCUGUAAAAAGUAUAACAUUCAAGUUAGAGCACCUUUUAGAUAUUUUUCUGAAGUUACCAAAAGUGAAGAUUCACAACAAUUCAAACAAGAAUGG